rnacentral:lncRNA from 1 species
CCUGAAAAUGAUUUUGUUAAUAAUUCAGUUUUUUUUUAAAGGAAACCUUACUGUUGUUUCCCUGGUGUGAACCUAAUGCUGUUCUUUCUCAGAAACUUGUGGGUGAAACACGGCGAAACAUCGCAGCCGAGAUUCAGCGCAAAGAACUGGAAUUUCAUCAGCUGAGAAACGCUCAGACGUCCUUCUGCCGUCAGGUCAAGGUCGCGCUGAAGGACAGCAGCAGCGUGUUCUCAGAGCUUCAGGAGUUCCUGGAGCGUCGUCGUGUGGAGAUGAAGGAGCUGAUCAGAGCUCAGGAGAAGUCCGAGCUCACCAGAGCAGAAACCCACCUCCAACAUCUGGAGAAACAGAUGUUGGAGCUGAGGAGGAGAGACGCUGAGCUGCACAGGCUGUCCCAGCUCCAGAACCUGGACCAGAACCUCAUCAUCCAGGUGUGUCAGCCGUUCUCUGCUCCUGGUUCUGCUGAGUCACUCUCUGUGGUUCCUGAUGUUUCUUUUGGAGUCGUGAGGAACAUCGUCUCUGAUCUGAAGGAUCAGCUGCAGAACUUUUACCUCUCUGAGUUCCAAGCAGUCGCUACUGCAGUUAAAAGUGUCAACCUGCUGCAGUUUAGCAGCACAGUUGUUCGUUCUCCUCCACCCGUUCUGUCAGUGAAGAGCAGAUAUGAUCUCCUACACUGUGAGUGUCAGCCUCUCAGAUUGCCUCUCCCUCUCUGUGUUUGAUUAAUAAAGUCUGAUCUGAUCCCCUCUCUGUUGUGCA